AUCCUCCAUUUUUGAUUCCUGAAAGGUGACCAGGUGAAAGCAGAGCCUGACUUCCUGGGGAAAUGGUCUCAGCACAGUGAAUGCUACAUUCAGAGGUAGGAAGACUCUGGAUGUGAACUACUUCGUGUUUCUUUUGUAAAAUUACCAAAAAAAAAGAGCAAUGUCCACAAAAGCAGAAGGAGGAAUGCGGAAGGAGAGGAUGAGUUUAGACUAAGCUCUUUUGUUACCUCACUUCUGCUUUUGAAGUCCCACAGCUCCGUAAGGAUUCCUCAAACUGGAAGCGGUGGCUCUAGGAGGAUGUACAUCUUCAAGUCCUUGGGUUUCCCCUGGAAAGACAGAAUGAAUUCACAUUCCCACCUGCAUUGGCUGAGAAGUCCCCUUUCCCCGACUUCCUUGACAAAAAUGGAUAUUAUCAUUCCUUUUUAUCUUUACCAAUAUGGAAGUUUUGUGUAACUGAACACGAGAAUUACAGAAGAGGCCAAGCUUGGUGGCUCACGCCUGUAAUCCCAACACUUUGGGAGGCUGAGGCGGGUGGAUCACUUGAGGCCAGGAGUUUGAAACCACCCUGGACAACAUGAUGAAAUCCUAUUUCUAUCAAAAAAAUCCCCCCAACGUACACCAAAUUAGCGACAUGUUGAUGCAUUCCUGCGGUCCCCGCUAACUUGGGAGGCUUAGUGGGAGGAUCACUUGAGCCCAGGAGGCUGAGGCUGCAUUGAGACAUGAUUGCACCUCUGCACUCCAGCCUGAGCAACAGAGUGAGAUCCUGUCUCAAAAAAAGGAAAAGAAAAGAGGAAUUCAGGGACAGAAUGGAAUUGUGGCUCCAUCCCAACUCAGAAGCUCACUUUCUUCAGCUAUAAAAUGGGGUAAAGAAUAAUCUUUCCCAAAGAGAAAAGUUAAACACCUUAGUCCUAGCCCUAGCCACCCCAGCAGCUCUCUUUUCUUCCCAAACUCCUUUUCAGUCUUGUCUCCUCCAGCAGCCUGGGUAUUCCCGCAUGAAUGUAAACCACAUGACAUGGUUUGUAUCUGUGUCCCCAUCCAAAUCUCAUGUCAAAUUGUAACCUCAGUGUUGGAGGUAGGGCCUGAUGGGAGGUGACCGGAUCGUGGAGGCAGAGUUCUUAUGAAUGGUUUAGCACAGUCUCCCCUUGGUACUGUGUAGGGAGUAAGUUCUCAUGAGAUCUGGUUGUGUAACAAUAUGGCACCUCCCCUCUCUCUCUUUUCCUUCUGCUCCAGCCUUUGUGAGGAGAAAACUUCACUGCUCCUCUUUGCCUUCUGCCAUAGUUGUUAAGUUCCCUGAGGCCUCCCCAGAAGCUGAUGUCGCCAUGCUUCCUAUACACCCUAUAGAACUAUGAGCCAAUUAAACCUUUUUUCUUUGUAAAUUA